rnacentral:rRNA from 1 species
UACGUAGGGGGCUAGCGUUGUCCGGAAUCAUUGGGCGUAAAGCGCGCGUAGGCGGCCCGGUAAGCCCGUUGUGAAAGUCAAAGGCUCAACCUUUGAACGCCGAUGGAUACUGCCGGGCUAGAGUCCGGAAGAGGCGAGUGGAAUUCCUGGUGUAGCGGUGGAAUGCGCAGAUAUCAGGAGGAACACCGGUGGCGAAGGCGGUUCUCUGGGCAUGUACCUGACGCUGAGGAGCGAAAGUGUGGGGAGCGAACAGG